UAGCUCAGCUGGGAGAGCGCCUGCCUUGCACGCAGGAGGUCAGCGGUUCGAUCCCGCUAGGCUCCA
rnacentral:tRNA from 1 species